UUACUUCAGCAGCACUUACACUAAAAUUGGAAGGAUAUGGAGAAGAUUAGAAUAGCCCCUGUGCAAAAAUAACAUGCAAAUUUGUGAAAACAUUCUAAUUUGC